UACGUAGGGGGCAAGCGUUGUCCGGAAUUAUUGGCGUAAAGAGCGCGUAGGCGGUCCGAUAAGUCGGCUGUGAAAGUCAAGGCUCAACCCUUGAAAGCCGGCCGAUACUGUCGGACUAGAGUCCGGAAGAGGCGAGUGGAAUUCCCGGUGUAGCGGUGAAAUGCGCAGAUAUCGGGAGGAACACCGGUGGCGAAGGCGGUUCUCUGGGCAUGCCUGACGCUGAGGAGCGAAGUGUGGGGAGCGAAC
rnacentral:rRNA from 1 species